UCUUCCUGUCCCAGCUCCCGCCCUUAGCCUAUAAAAGGUGUGAUUAUUUUCUGAAUAAACCGGAAGCUUGAUCGGAUUAUUUCAUCUUGCUUUUGUCUCUCUUUUGUCUCCCCCAUGUCUUUUAUUUAAUCCCCGUUUCCCCUCCAGGAGUUCUGAACUUGUUGAUCUGCAGGCCGGAUCAAGUGGCACCCAGUGUGGGGGCUCCUGGCAUGGAGAAGUUAACGAGGGAGCCAUUCGAGAGACAGCCGGCUUAAACUGAAAGUGAAAGCAAAUUGAACCAGAGACCUUGGCCGAGGAAUGAGUAAACUGAAUCAAGGAUUAAAGCUUAAAGCAACAGGACAUUAAAUUAAGUGCCAAGACCUGCGCAGACGACUACCCGACGUCCUGCCCGAGUCACGGGAAAAUGAAUACUGUGUUCAAGCUGGCCAAUUAAGGGGAUAUAUUCAAAGCCAAGCUGAAAUUUUGGAGACAUCGCAAUUAAUAAAGAUGCUGUACCUGUCACUAUUAAUCAUCUAUUUGAUGGCAUUAAGAGUUUCUUGGAGAGGUAAGUGGCUAAUGGAAGCACUAUAUUCCUCAGUGGAGUAACCCACUGAUAUCCAUAGCUCACUACAGUUUUAGAGGAGGGACACAGCUGGAGUGACACACCUUGAAGGUAUCUCUGUUGUUGGGACUCUUCCCCUGUAAGCUGCUACCACAUUUCCAUGAAGUGAACAUUUUCACCACGACAUCUUUGCCUUGAAACCAGUUUUUCAUGUACUGAAUUCCUGUAGUAGAGGCUAAUUAAACCUCUCCUUCUUUAAUUCACAGGUGUUGAGGUAGUUUGUCCCAGAAUCUAACACAGAUUCUGAUAAAGGAGUAACAUUAAAAGAUCCCUGAAAAGAAUCUGUUUGGCCCCCUUGACAUCACUGUGAGUGAGUAAUGGUCUCAUCAUUCCACAUUCAAGGAAUUUCCUACACAGAACAGGAAACUAUGGAAUGUACCAAUAAAUGUUUCCUUCUUUCUGUGUUGUAGUCAGCCAUGAAUUAGAGCUCCCUAUUAAUGUUGGACAAAUUGUUAGCUAACAGAUAAAACUGGAACACUUAUCAUAGGUAUAAUAUUUUCCUUAUCCAAUAACUAAAUAUAUAAGCACAAAUUUUGCAGAAUACAGUUUUAUACGAUCCAAUGUUUUUGAAUGUUUUAUAAAAUGCAUAUACAGGAAAUUAGAAUAGCAGUAAUUAUUUUAGAAUGGCAGUAUUACUUUCUGAAAUAAUAUCUUCUAAUUAGUAGGCUACAGGUGAAUAUUUAGCACAUUUGAAAGCAAGCUGACAAUGUUUGCAAACAUUGAAUUCUUUUUUGUAAAUUUAGUUGAGCAAAUUUAAACUACAAAUUAUAACAAAUUGUGCAGAAUUUUAUUUUAAUAUUAGUGAAAAUAUUUAUAGAACAUUUUGUUAAAAAGAAAUUUACAAGCUACCAAUGGCUCAAAAUUUUACUGUUGAAAAGAAAAUAAAAGAUGAGCUGAUUAAAAAACAAACAUUUGAAAAUUUAGAGUGAAAUCACUCCAUUAUAUAAGCGAAGGCACAGUUUAUGUGAUUUCUUAAUAAAAUAGAAAAACAUAGCUGAAGAUUCUAUUUCACAUUCACUUUUAAGCAUAUAAAUUUGGGAAAACACACUCAAUGGUCUCUAUUAUCCUAAUAUUGAAAUAAAUAUAAUGUUAUACAUCAAUUAUGCUCCUGUCAAAAUCUUGUCAAUAAAAUAUAAACUUAGGUAUAUAAAAAUAUAAUGCAUGACCUUAUUUAACUGUAUCAAAAUCUAGCAUAUAUUUGUCCACUGAAAUUUUGCAUUUCUUUUACUAAGACUUACUAACCUUAGCCACGACUUCUUUUGGUAAUCAGAUACCUGAUGUGUGUCCUGAAAUACAACCCGAGUUUCUCAUCACCUAAUUAUUUUUUAUAAAGAAUUUUAUUUAAAGAGAAAAAAGCAAAACAGAAAAAAGGGUAGAAUACAGAAUUUCAAAAAAACAGUAAGAAGUCACUAGUUGAUAGAUUACAUAUUGUCAUCUUAGAAGUCGCUAUUCAAGUUACAAAAUUAAAGCAUAAAAGUGGACAUUUAAACAGUGAGACUGCAAACAGUUCUGUUCAAUGAUCCAACAAAAACUUAGUAAUAUGGUUAUCUGUUUUACACACUUAAAAAUACAUGUGGUUAUAUCCUUUAGAGCACUUUCUUUUCCUCUCUUUUUUAUAAUAACAAUUACACCUUUUAGGUCUUAUUACUCCUACAGUUCUUAUUACUUUGUUUGAAGAGAAUAAAACCAAAUGUGACAAAGCAAAAUGGAGUCAGUUAAAACAAGAAUAGACAUAUUAUAUGAUAUAAAAACAAAAUACAAGAUGAUCAUCAAUGGCUACUAUAAUGCAUCUUGCUAUCUUCAAAAUAAUUGCCCAUGUUUUAAAGAGGGUAAGAUUAAACAUACCAAAACAAAACAAAACAUAUCAUAAGGAAAAAAUUUUAAGAAGUGCUAAUUUCAAAGAAAGUACACAGGAGAUCUUCACUGUCUUAUUGUCUCUAGUUUUCUCCCAAAUAGUUGUUCCCAUCUUCACACACAGUGAAUACAUACUGAACAUUAUAGAACUAAUCUGAUCAUAACAGGAUGAUGAAUGCUUUUUAGGCCUUCAAGACCUGAUAUUGGGGAAGUCAAUAGUGACUGCCAUAAUGUCCCUCAUUC